CUUAUUGCGUAAAACAUUUUCGCGAUACACGUGGCGGACGGUGAAUUUCUUCUAGGAGGCUGGAUGAAUUUCUAAAUGCAAUUCGCACGAGGUUCGAAACAAGAGGUUGACGAUGGUUUGACGUGGUCGAUUCUCGGCACACCAGACAGCUCUCUGGGAAAUCCGGACGAACCGGCCGAAGCAAAAGAGGGAAGGACGUGCACUGCGUAUCAGCGCAUGGUUCUCCUCUGUCAAGAUCAAAGGCAGGCGAAUCGCGGUAAAGAAAGCAAUCGUUCCACUUGAAAGAAAGGGACGAAUGACGCUGGUUGUACAGGGUGCCCAAGCACUUAUGGUACAAUAGAUAAGGUGGCGAUUCGACUUGAAAAUAAACCGAAAAUUGAAGUAAAAUUUUUUCUCAGGACACUUUUCGAAGAAAUUAAAAAAUUUAUCAGGUGCAUGUUCAAAACACGCUCAAUCUUUAUUUUCACGAAAACGAGACCUUCUUAAGCGAAAGACUCUAUUUCAUGUUUUUAACUUAUUUUCGAAUGUAGAAUAACCUGAUUGUUUAUUCCUACCCAGUCAGAGAUUAGCCAUGUUCAAAUAGGCGAACUUGUAGAACUGUUCCAUCUUCCAACUUCGAUGAUUUUUAAAUAUGUUGUAAAGCUCAACAUUUUAAACAAUUUUUUCCUAUAACCAUCGGUUUCUCUUAGCUUCCGAGAUAUUUGCAAAAGGCUGCAAGUACUACUGCAGUGUAUUUUUGCCUGAUGUAUUUUUACCAGCAACCAAUACUAACGCAUGCGCUGUCACAGACGCGCAAUAAUAAAAUAUUGGUAGAAUUCAUUCUAGUGAUACCGGCAGCUUUUCGUGAAAAUCUCGCAAACCAAUCGUUCCGUAACUUUAUUAUACGUUUUAUUUUUUACAUAUAUAUAGAAACAUAUAUCUAGAAAAAAGUUAUCCAAGAUAUCAAUUUCUACGACAUAUUUAAAAGUCAUCAAUAUCCGACAGUAGUUAAC
rnacentral:misc_RNA from 1 species